rnacentral:rRNA from 1 species
AUCUAUUGGAUGACAUAAGAGCGCACUUCAUUGUGGCUCGACCUUCAUAUCCAUUCACACUGUGCACUGUAAUACCUUUUUAUUAGACCCUACAAGUCAAAGAAUGUACUACUUUGUAUAAAGUAAACAAAACUUUCAACAACGGAUCUCUUGGUUCUCGCAUCGAUGAAGAACGCAGCGAAAUGCGAUAAGUAAUGUGAAUUGCAGAUUUCAGUGAAUCAUCGAAUCUUUGAACGCACCUUGCACCUCUUGGUAUUCCGAGAGGUACAUCUGUUUGAGUGUCAUGAAUACCUCAACCUCUCCACUUUCUUGUAAAGUGCGGAAGCGUUGGAUGCUGAGCGUUGCUGUCCAACACAGCUCGCUUCAAAUGUAUAAGCAAUCUUUGUACUGCUCGGAUUGACUUGACGUGAUAAGAUCUUCGUCAGGGAUGCUUUACAGCAGCCGGAUUGUACAUGAGUCGCUACCAACCCUGCAUUCGUGCAACCUCUUGAUUUUAGACCUCAAAUCAGAUGGGACUACCCGCUGAACUUAAGCAUAUCA